rnacentral:lncRNA from 8 species
CUGCAGGAUUGGCCUCCAUUACAUUUAAAUUCCUGUCAAUUCAGAAAGUAAACCAAAUUCAAUUUCCAAAUGUUCCUCAUUGAAGAGAAUUGGAAUUUCAGUUUAAUUCCUGAAUUUACUGGAAUUGAACACAACCCUGGUGAGCUGGAGUUUAAAAAAAAAAGUUUGUCGGUUUAAGUGUUAGCUAACUUAAAAAGAUUAUCAUAUAAUGUCCUUUGUGAAAUUAUUUAAAUUGAUGAUAUUGUGCAAGCUGCUAACAGGUCGGCUGUAGUACCAUGUAACAAUAGUGUGUACCUACAUUGUAAUUACACUAGCGUACUUAUAUUGAUAAAUUAUAUUGUUAUCCCGUCUCAAUGUGAAGGUUGACUGUGAUUGGAUCACGAUGAAGUCAAAGUGUAAAGACGUCUACCAAUCAAGCAACCUUCCCUGCAUCUUGGAAACAUACCUGCCAUCUAGUGGUGGCAAAAUGGCAGAGAAUGCAGACAGGCCUCAGCGUUGGAGGAAGAAGCUGACCCAGAGCCAGAGCCAGAGCCAGACCCAGAGCCAGACCCAGAGCAGAGAGACUGGGACUGGGCCUGGGGGUCAGGAUCACCCUGGGAGUGCUGCUAGUGACCCAGACAGCGUCAGUCGCCAGGCUCUGCUAGAUCAGCACCAUCUAGAGGCGUACAGAAACAUGCACCGUCUCAGAGACAUCCUGUACCAUCGAUACUCUGCCAUGCUCAGAGAUAAGAUACACACACAGAGACAGGAGAUACAACGACGUGCUGAGGCAGCUGGAACAGUCACCGAGGAUAAACACCUACCGAAACUGAGGAAGCUGACCUGUUCUACUCUCUCCCAUGACAACACAUACCUGAGGUCUCUUCCUCAAACCAGCUACUACCUGAUCUUGGGCCUUCAGAACCAGUUGUCUCGGCAUGGUUGUCUGAAGACCAUCCAGGACCAUGAGGACUUCUGUUUCACGGUUAACCACCACAACCACAACCGUGGUCCAGUCCAGCUGCAGAGAACACUACAGGAGAUCAGGAAGAGGAUGAUUGGCAGCCGCUCCACAUCUGAUGUGAUGUCAGCGGGAUGGGGUUGGAGCCAGCAGGAGAUGUUAGUACAGCCCCCUAGAAUUCACGUCACCACCGCGGAGAGAAGACACCUGGACCGGAUUGUCCCUUCAGAGACAGGGAAAAGGCUUAUGCCGGGAGAGAGACUUCCAGAAAGAGGGACUGGCGAGAGACUUCCAGAAAGAGGGCCUGGGGAGAGACUUCCAGAAAGAGGGCCAGGGGAGAGACUUCCAGAAAGAGGGCCAGGGGAGAGACUUCCAGAAAGAGGGGCUGGGGAGAGACUUCCAAAAAAAGGGACUGGCGAGAGACUUCCAGAAAGAGGGUCUGGGGAGAGGCUUCCAGAAAGAGGGUCUGGGGAGAGACUUCCAGAAAGAGGGGCUGCGGAGAACUCUGCAGCCUUCCUCCUCUCACAGCAGCAGGAACAGGACUAUACUGAGCAAAUGUUUCCCAAGGUGAAGGUUCCCAAGUUUGCAACCCUUCAGCCUAGUUUUCUGAAGAACUUGAAGACGGUGAUGCCAACUUUGGGAGUUGAGGAGAUACCCGAGAAGAGUAAGAGAGCAGAGAUGACUGUGAGGAUGCUGAGACACAUGCACAGCCUGUCCCUUACCAACAUGGCUGUCUCUCAGAGAAUGCUACUGGACAGAGACAGACACUCACUGUGCUGCUGCUGGGAACAGAAGAGGAGUUUCCAAGAUCUGGUGAGUUGCUAGAUUGAAUCCCCACGCUGACAAGGUACAAAUCCGUCGUUCUGCCCCUGAACAAGUCAGUUAACCCACUGUUCCUAGGCCGUCAUUGUAAAUAAGAAUUUGUUCUUAACUGACUUGCCUAGUUAAACAAAGGUUAAACAGGAAGCAAAACUCCCGAGCGGAGUUUUCCAAAAUACAGCAGGUUCCUAUUUCUUCUGCCUUGGCUGAGUGGCUUUUACAUGCACGA